rnacentral:rRNA from 1 species
CAGACCUCUAAUCGGAAAGA